AUACGGAGGGGGCUAGCGUUGUUCGGAAUUACUGGGCGUAAAGCGCGCGUAGGCGGAUUGGUUAGUUGGGGGUGAAAUCCCAGGGCUCAACCCUGGAACUGCCCUCAAUACUGCCAGUCUAGAGAUCGAGAGAGGUGAGUGGAAUUCCUAGUGUAGAGGUGAAAUUCGUAGAUAGUAGGAAGAACACCAGUGGCGAAGGCGGCUCACUGGCUCGAUACUGACGCUGAGGCGCGAAAGCGUGGGGAGCAAACAGGAUUAGAAACCCUAGUAGUCC
rnacentral:rRNA from 1 species